rnacentral:rRNA from 1 species
GAUGAACGCUGGCGGCGUGCCUAAUACAUGCAAGUCGAACGGACGGACGAGAAUCUUGCUUCUCUGAUGUUAGCGGCGGACGGGUGAGUAACACGUGUAUACUCUACCUAUAAGACUGGGAUAAUUUCGGGAAUCCGGAUCUAAUACCGGAUAAUAUUCUGAACCGCAUGGUUCAUAAGUGAAAGACGGUCUUGCUGUCACUUCUAGCUGCAUCUGCGCUGCAUUGGCUAGUUGGUAAGGUAACGGCUUACCAAGGCAACGAUGCAUAGCCGACCUGAGAGGGUGAUCGGCCACACUGGAACUGGGACACGGUCCAGGCUCCUGCGGGAGGCAGCAGUAGGGAAUCUUCCGCAAUGGGGGAAAGCCUGACGGAGCAACGCCACGUGAGUGAUGAAGGUCUUGGGAUCGUAAAACUCUGUUAUUGGGGAAGAACAGAUGUGUAAGUAACUGUGCACAGCUUGACGGUAACGAAUCAGAAAGCCACGGCUAACUACGUG